GAAAUAUGAUUAAGUAAAAGCUGCUAACUUAUUACUAUAACGGCCUACCCCGUUUAUAUUUCU
rnacentral:tRNA from 1 species